rnacentral:rRNA from 1 species
CUUUUAGCUCUCGCUAUUAGAUGAGCCUAAGUCGGAUUAGCUGGUUGGUGGGGUAAAGGCCUACCAAGGCGACGAUCUGUAGCUGGUCUGAGAGGAUGAUCAGCCACACUGGGACUGAGACACGGCCCAGACUCCUACGGGAGGCAGCAGUGGGGAAUAUUGGACAAUGGGCGAAAGCCUGAUCCAGCCAUGCCGCGUGUGUGAAGAAGGCCUUUUGGUUGUAAAGCACUUUAAGUGGGGAGGAAAAGCUUAUGGUUAAUACCCAUAAGCCCUGACGUUACCCACAGAAUAAGCACCGGCUAACUCUGUGCCAGCAGCCGCGGUAAUACAGAGGGUGCAAGCGUUAAUCGGAAUUACUGGGCGUAAAGCGCGCGUAGGUGGUUAUUUAAGUCAGAUGUGAAAGCCCCGGGCUUAACCUGGGAACUGCAUCUGAUACUGGAUAACUAGAGUAGGUGAGAGGGGAGUAGAAUUCCAGGUGUAGCGGUGAAAUGCGUAGAGAUCUGGAGGAAUACCGAUGGCGAAGGCAGCUCCCUGGCAUCAUACUGACACUGAGGUGCGAAAGCGUGGGUAGCAAACAGGAU